GAAAACACCUGAUGCUCACUAUGAUACUUUUUUUCUGACUCCAACGUAGAGUUACUGAAAUUAGGUCAUUAGGAAAAUAAAGCAUGGGAAUAGACACUUUACUUCUUAUAAGCACUCUGAGAUAAAGGUUAAACAGGAGUUGUCUCUCUGAAAAAUGCACAUUAUUAAUAGAAAGUGUUCUUUUAUGUCAUUUUGCUACAGACCUGGCAUUUUUAUUUAUGAAGGUCUUUUAGUUAGAUACACACGUAAAAAUUCCUUCAGUUUACAAAGCUGUAGAAUAUACAAUCCUUGCUCAAAAGAUUAAAUCCUGUUCAAAAUAGAAACUGGAGAAGUGGUGGAGUUAAGUGGUUCUCAAGUCUCAGAUUCACAGGUGUUCUCUGGAUGGAAGACCCGUGUCCCUUUUGAGCGAGGCCCCAUACAGGUAUGGGGAAAACAGAGCAAUAUAAUCCAUCCUCUUAAGGGGAAAAUAGAGAAAACAGAGGGCUACCUGAGAAGUGGAGGCAAAAAAGUGGAGGCAAAAAAGAUGAGAAAAAUUACUUAAGGCUUCAUAGAUGAGCCAGGCCUUAAAUUUAAAUCUUUCUUAAGUGACUGGAAAAAAACACUUGAGACAGACUAGGUGACACUUGCCUGUCUCCCAAAACAGGCAGGCAGGCUGGUGUACUUGCAAAAUAAGGAUCUACUCUUUCACAUCUGAAUUCCCUUAAGAGUUUAGAUCAGAAAAAAACACAUGCUGCAUAGCCUGUCUUCAGCCAAAGGUAUCUCAGAUUUUGAUGCAGCAUAGCAUUCAGUUUCAUGUAGGUGUCAAGUGGAUAAAUGUUUGUCCCAAUGCCAUCUCAUGGGCACACAGGAAUAUAAUCAGCUCAGGCAGGUGGAUUACUGACAAAGACUUGCCUGAUAUUCUGCCAGCUGACAUUUCCAGUUCCUUGGGCUCAAAGUAAUUCACCUGCAGGGCACCUUAGUUUUUACUUAUAACAUUCCUCCUCGGUCCAAUAUCUUUUUCUCUAAGGAUAUGAAUUUCCCAAUGGAUAAAAUUUUCCGAUUCCCACACAGCUCUAAUAAAUAUUUCACUUAUUUCUGUUGCAGAUGUGUUUGGUUUUGAAGACCAGAUCGCUGUCUCUUUAAAGCACCUCAGGGAAGCUUUUUGCAUUUUAACCUGCACAGCCACACUGGAAGAAAUCACUGUGUUCAGCUGUUCUCUAUCCACUGGCGUAGAAAUAUCAGUUCCUUAGGAGCAACAGAGGAAGGUCAGAGCUUUUAAAUAAAAAUCAAGACACCAAUUUAAGACUUUACUACUGAGCAACUCUGGAAGUGAAUAUGACCAUGAAGAUUUAAUUGCUUCACAGAGAUUCCAGGCAUGAUCAAGGCCUUCCCUGCUACAUCCCCACUGAAGACACUCUUUGGGAUUCAAGGUGAUUGACAAGUUAGAUUAUUAGUGCCACUCAUUAGCAAGAAAUGUAGAAAAUUGAAGCCCUUGAAGGAAAGGUCUGUCACUUGCACAAUAAAGCUCUUAUUUAAAUUCCA